rnacentral:lncRNA from 1 species
GAAAAGUCAAGGGAGGAGAUGAGAAAGGAAGGGAAAAGCUUGGCCAAAAUGGGUAGAAGUCAUUAGGGUUUCUUGGGAAGUGAUAGCUUCCAGCGGCUAUAAAAGGGGCCUCUUCUACCCAACCAAAGAAAACCCACAUCCAGAGAGCAAGCUUCCUCUCUUGCCUGCAAAACCCAGCAAUUUCAUGCACUAUUCACCCUUCUCCAUUUUCCUCUUCUGGCAGACCACUUUCAGAAUCUGUCAAGUUGCAGGAAGAACAUUGUUCUUC